UUUGUGGUUAAUGAUGCAACUUCUUUCCCCGACUUAUCGACUAUGGUGAAACAGAUGUCUAAAAUAAGCCAUUUAUAUUCUGAAACCACAAA